rnacentral:lncRNA from 1 species
UGGGACAGAGAUGCAGCAGGUCCCCAGUUCUGCGUCCACGGCCGGUGCUUCCAGGCAGUGUCCCCCUGAGCUGGGAUUCACGUCCUGGCCUUGAAGCUUUGAGCAGGCCUAGCAAUCCCUGAAUGUGGUGCAUUUGAGGGAGCCUGUUUCUCUUGGGGGGAGGAAUGCCACCUGGUUGUUCCUGUUGGUUUCAGGACUUUGUCCCGGGCGAUCACCACGUCAAUGUUUCUGUCGUCACUGUUUCUUUCUCUUCCUCACAGGGGAGAGGCCUGUCCCUCAGCAGAUUUAGCUGGGUAGGUGAUGACUGCGUCUCCUCUGCUUCCUCAUCCCCUGCAGCCCGCGCAGCCCACUGACUUCUAAGUUCUUUCAGUUGCUUAACACUCGCUUUUUCUGUCCUGCCCGGCCCAGCUCGCCCACCAUGCUUGGCAGGCUGUUUUCUAUUCCAGGCAGACAGGAAGCCUUUCAGUGUGGGUUGCUGCCAGGCUGCAUCCCGGGCACUGCAGAGCCCUGUACCUCCUCCCCACAAGUGUUCUGAGCUCCUUCCCAAGAAAGGGCCAUAUUACAAGGCUCAGUAGACCAAACUACACUGCUGCCCACCCCUUAAGACAGUACUGCUGAUGCAGAAUAAUGAUGCUAAACUCUUGUUCCAUUUCCAAUAACCCUUCUACUUGUUAAUCCAGAAGAUCUGGGGUUUUGUUUGUGUGUUAGUGGCAUCUAACACAGAUCCACUAAACCUCCAAGAAAGAUUCCGUAAGGGUUUUAGGUUUUUAGACACAAGAUCAAAGUUCUGAUGAUGGUUUUAACUGGUCGGAACAGCUUGGCUUCUAAAUAUUUGCAAGUUUUCAUGUCUACGCCAGCUUAAAAUGCUUACUGAUUUGUCCUAAUCAAGUGUGUUGAUCCCUGAUGCUAGCAAAUACUAGAUAUGGUUCUUUCUCUUCAUUGUUAAACAGCUGUAAUUUGCAGAGCUACACAGAUGCACACACCAGCCUGUUAGCCAGAGGUGGGGUGGGGUGAGAGGUCAUCUUAUCUAUGGGGGCAGUGUGGUACAGAGCCCAUCUGUGCCAACCAAACAACGCACAAGAGAAGAGGUGAGGGGAAGGGAGGAGAGAGAGAGAGAGAGAGGGAGAGAGAGAGAGAGAGAACAAUAUAAACAACCAUAGGUAGAAGAUAGGGUCAAACAUGGGGCACAUAUCUAUAAUGCCAGUAUUCAGUAGGCAGAGGCAGGGGGAUUGCUAAAAGAGCAAAGUAACUGUGGGGCAACAGAGUUGCCCUGUCUCAGAAAGUAAAAAUAAGUCAAACAGAGGAAAAAAUAUAAAAGGAAGGAUAGAGGAAAUUUGCUUGAAAGAUAGAGGAAAUUUGUGGAACUCCUGGACCAUUCCCAAAUGUCCUCAUACUGAGCUAUGAACCACUUGAUGUAAAUGUACCUAUGUUUUUCUCACACGUCAAAUCUUCGGAACUGGUGACAAGAAGAUGUCUACCCAGCCCCCACACAGCCCCCACCCAUGGCCUCUUUCUGUCUUUAACUUUCUGUGCCAGGAGAGAUAAGGAUGAUGUGAAGAACAGCACCUCAUUUUAUCCAAAAUUCUUAUUUUAGCUACUGCUGUGUAUGUCUUAGGCAUGGGUUGUCAGGGCAUUGUGGAAACACUGUGAGAGAGUAGGAGGAGGAGAAGCCCUUUGACCCACCGGCGAACAGGCAAGGUCUUGGUGUCUCUCUCUCUCUCUCUGCAAUCUCUAGUUUGGGUCUCACAGGGCCCCGUUGGGUCUCUCUUGGUCCCAAGUCCCUUCGGGUUUUCAUCGCCUCUUUUCAGGAUGGCCUUCUUGUCUGGACUUCCAGAAACUCCUUCUUACUCUCGCAAAACUCUGUUGUCUGUGUCUUGAUAUUCUCUAUGUUUUCCAAGGUGAAAUCGACUAGGAAAGUCCCACAGUGUUGAUCUGAAAGUUGAGCUGUUCAGGUCUCAGAAAUUCUUGGUUUGG